CGGACGGGUGAGUAAUGCUUGGGAAUCUAGCUUAUGGAGGGGGAUAACUACGGGAAACUGUAGCUAAUACCGCGUAAUAUCGAAAGAUUAAAGUGUGGGACCUUCGGGCCAUAUGCCAUAGGAUGAGCCCAAGUGGGAUUAGGUAGUUGGUGAGGUAAAGGCUCACCAAGCCGACGAUCUCUAGCUGGUCUGAGAGGAUGACCAGCCACACUGGGACUGAGACACGGCCCAG
rnacentral:rRNA from 1 species